UUAGAUACCCGUGUAGUCCCAGCCGUAAACGAUGCGCGUUAGGUGUAUCGGUGACCACGAGUUACCGAGGUGCCGAAGGGAAACCGUGAAACGCGCCGCCUGGGAAGUACGGCCGCAAGGCUGAAACUUAAAGGAAUUGGCGGGGGAGCACACAGCGGGUGGAGCCUGCGGUUUAAUUGGACCCAACGCCGGGCAGCUCACCGGGUAGGACAGCGAUAUGAUAGUCGGGCUGAAGACUCUACUUGAUCAGCUGAGAGGAGGUGCAUGGCA
rnacentral:rRNA from 1 species